rnacentral:rRNA from 1 species
UACGGGGGGGGGCAAGCGUUGUUCGGAAUUACUGGGCGUAAAGGGCUCGUAGGCGGCCAACUAAGUCGGAUGUGAAAUCCCCAGGCUUAACCUGGGAACUGCAUCCGAUACUGGAUGGCUUGAAUCCGGGAGAGGGAUGCAGAAUUCCAGGUGUAGCGGUGAAAUGCGUAGAUAUCCGGAGGAAUACCGGUGGCGAAGGCGGCAUCCUGGACCGGCAUUGACGCUGAUGAGCGAAAGCUAGGGGAGCAAACGGG